rnacentral:rRNA from 1 species
UACGUAGGGUGCAAGCGUUGUCCGGAUUUAUUGGGUUUAAAGGGUGCGUAGGUGGCUUUUUAAGUCAUGGGUGAAAGCCCGCAGCUCAACUGUGGAAUUGCCUGUGAUACUGAGGAGCUUGAGUGCGGUUGAGGCAGCUGGAAUUGGUGGUGUAGCGGUGAAAUGCAUAGAUACCACCAGGAACACCGAUUGCGAAGGCAGGUUGCUAAGCCGUAACUGACACUGAGGCACGAAAGCGUGGGGAGCGAAAGGG